rfam:Strongylocentrotus purpuratus Contig12952_fixed, whole genome shotgun sequence.
AUCUUUGCGCAGAGGCAGUAUCGUAGCCAAUGAGGUUUAUCCGAGGCGCGAUUAUUGCUAGUUGAAAACUUAUCCCAAUACCCCGCUCUGACGACGUGAAAUACCGUCGGCUGUAGCAAUUUUUCCAGAUCUCCAAGGAGA